AUAAUAUUUUGCAGGUUUUAAAUCUCUAUGGAUAAUUGGAGGUUUGCAACCAUUGUGUAGAUACUCCAAUCCUGUAAAAUGGCAUACGAGAAUUUCUUGUGAUGAGAUGUUAUACAGAAGUCGCAGCUGUGGCAAUAGCACCAAGAAUUCUG